AGGGGUUUUUUUAGAGCCUCUUCAGGCUCUCUCUGCAGUCAUCCAUCAACCACAGCUCCACAAAGGCUGCUUCCCAGGCAGGUGGGCCUCUCGUAGGUGAGAGCGAAGGAAGUGGAUGACUCGGCUCUGCUCCGCGACUCGGGGGCUACUCCCACCCAGCUUCCGAAUGUCAUACACCACUUAGAAGAUUUUAGUCACCUGUACGAGCUUGCAAGGCUGCCAUAACAAAGUACCAUGGACAAGGUGGCUUAAAAAACAGAAAUUUAUCUCCUCGCAGUUGUGGAGGCUGGAGGUCCAAGAACAAGAACUUUAUCACAAUUUUUGCACCUUUACCCUUCAACAUUUACUUUGGCAUCACCUUGUCUAGCUGUAAAAAUGUUCUGAAGGCAUUUUCAUUGGAAUAGCGUUCAGUGGCUCAGCAGUAAAGAAUCCACCUACAACACAGGAGACAUGGGUUUGAUCCCUGAGUCGGGAAGAUCCCCAGGAGAAGCAAAUGGCAACCCACUCCAGUAUUCUUGCCUGGGAAAUCCCAUGGACAGAGGAGCCUGGUGGGCUAUUAAACUAAAUAGCCAGACAUGACUUAGCUAUUAAACUAAACACCAAAUAUAUAGAUGAAUGAGCAAGACUGUACAUGUUUGUAUAAUGGAUACUCUCUGCAUCCAUAUCAUUGCUUAGCAUUGCUUACCCUUCUGUACUGCUUGAAUUUUAAACCUUAUACGUCUUAUUUUUUUAAUG